AGAAACGCAAGAAAUUUCGCAGAAAUGGUAACCUCCACCUCCACAAUCCAAUCCGAUUUUCGUUCCGCUCUCCACAUCGCCAAUUUCUUCAUUUCACCACGCGCCUCCCGGACGCGCCGCCCUUUUACUAACCGACUGUUUCUUUCCUCUUCUAAAACUAAAGCGACGUCUUUUCCAUUCAGAGCUUUCUCCACCGAUUCUACUGACCCUGUGCUCCCCGUCAAGCUUCGUGAGAAGCCGCCUGUUUGUACUGCCGAUG
rnacentral:misc_RNA from 1 species